rnacentral:SRP_RNA from 1 species
ACCGAGUGUGGUGGCAUGUGCCUGUAGUCCCAGCUACUCGGGAGGCUGAGGCACGAGGAUCACUUGAGCCCAGGAGUUCUGGGUUGUAGUGUGCAAUGCUCAAUGGAUGUCUACACUAAUUGCAGAAUCAAUAUGGUGGCCUCCCGGGAGUGGGAGACCACCAGGUUGACUAAGGAGGAGUGAACUGGCCCUGGUCAGAAACGAAGUAGGUCAGAACUCUCAUGCUAGUCAGUAAUGCGAUUGUGCCCAUGAAUAGAUACUGCACUUCAGCCUGGGCAACAUAGUGAGACCCUGUCUUU